AUGGCCAUGGAGGUGGCUCUUGUUAGUGUGGCGACAGGGGUCCUCAAGCCUGUCAUAGCGAAGCUGUUUGUUCUGCUCGGCAACGAGUACAAGCGUUUCAAGUCAGUUCGCAAGGAGAUCAAGUCCCUCGCUCAUGAGCUGGCUGCCAUGGAUGCUUUUCUCCUCAAGAUGUCAGAGGCGGAGGAUCCCGAUGUGCGGGAUAAGGUGUGGAUGAAUGAGGUGCGGGAGCUCUCCUAUGACCUGGACGAUGCCAUCGACGACUUCAUGCAGAGCAUAGGUGACAAAGACGAAAAGCCAGAUGGCUUCAUUGAGAAGAUCAAGAGCUCACUAGGGAAGUUGGGGAAGAUGAAGGCUCGCCGUCGGAUCGGGAGAGAGAUUCAGGAUCUGAAGAAACAGAUCGUUGAGGCGGGCAAUACAAAUGCAAGGUACAACUGUCGCCAGACCGUCAAUAACACACAAAAUGAUACCGUUAACCCUAGAGCUGUUGCUAUCUUUGAGCAUGCCUCAAAGCUCGUUGGGAUUGAUGGACCCAAGGCUGAGAUAAUCAAGCUAUUGGCACAAGAGGAUGGACGCGCGUCAACACAACAACAACGGAAGAUUGUCUCCAUCGUUGGAUCUGGAGGUAUGGGCAAGACAACUCUUGCAAAGCAAGUCUAUGAAGAACUCAAAGGAAAAUUCGAGAGACAUGCUUUCAUAUCCGUGUCGCGGAAUCCAGACAUUAUAAAUAUCCUAAGGGCUAUUCUUAGCGAACUUAGCGGUCAAGGUAAUGCUGACACAAUAGCAUGGAGUAUAGAACAAAUGAUCUGCAAGAUCACCAAUUUCCUAGGAGACAAAAGGUACAUUAUUGUUGUUGACGAUCUAUGGGAUGUGAAAACAUGGAAUGAUUUGAAGUGUGCGUUCCCCGUGACUAGUUUUGGCAGUAUAAUAAUCACCACUACUCGUAUUAAUGAGGUUGCAGAUUCAUGUUUGUCAUCAUGUCAUGGUCAUAUUUAUAAUAUAAGGCAUCUUGAUAUGGUGCAUUCGAGGGAACUUUUUAACAUAAGGUUGUUCGAUUCUAGUGAAAAUUGCCCUUCACACCUUGAAAAAGUUUCUGGGGAAAUUUUGGAAAAAUGUGUUGGUUUACCUUUGGCAAUCAUUUCUAUAUCUGGUUUGUUGGCUACCAAAGAAAGAACAGAGAAUCAGUGGAAUCAAGUGAAAGAUUCAAUUGGUCGUGCACUUGAAAGGAAUCCUAGCGUUGAAGGAAUGAUGAAGAUAUUGUCACUUAGUUACUUUGAUCUACCUUCUCAUCUGAAAACUUGUCUCCUGUAUCUGAGUAUUUUUCCUGAAGAUUCUAUAAUUGAGAAGAAAGCUCUUAUAUGGAGAUGGAUUGCUGAGGGGUUCAUUCAGAAAGAUGGCAAAUAUACAUCAUACCAGUUAGGAGAGAGGUGUUUCAAUGAGCUCCUGAAUAGGUGUUUGAUCCAAGUUGCAUGGACAGAAGAAUAUGGUAAGGUGGAGAGUUGUCGAGUUCAUGACGUAAUACUUGAUUUCAUCAUAUCCAAGGCCAUUGAAGAGAAUUUUGUUACUUUUGUUGGUGUCCCUUGUAUAACCAGUGGGAUACAAAGAAAAGUUCGUCGUCUCUCUCUCCAAGUUGAUGUGAAAGAACAUUCUAUAUUAAAGAAAGGCCUGGUGUUGUCUCAUGUCCGCUCAGUAAAUGUUUUUGGGUAUACAGUGGAAAUCCCUUCUCUGGAUGAGUUCAGAUAUUUGCGAGUUCUGGACUUUGAGCUUUGCCGCCAAGUGGAAAACCAGCAUCUUGCAAAUAUAGGGAACUUGUUUCAGUUGAGGCACCUGAACCUGAGUUGGACGGAAGUAAGUGAGCUCCCGGAAGAAAUCGGCCGUCUACAUUGCUUAGAGAUGCUGGACAUAAGAGGCACCAAAGUACAUGAAUUACCAGCAACUAUUGUUAAUCUUAAGAAAUUGGUGGAUCUGCUUGUUGAUACUAGAGUUAAGUUUCCUAAUGGAAUUGCAAAGAUGCAAGCAAUGGAGAUGUUGGAACAGGUGGGUGUGUUCAGGCAGCAGUUUAACUUCCUGCAAGAACUUGGGCAGCUACAGAAUAUGAGGAAACUGGCCCUCGAUUUUGAAGGAGAUCAUGUCACUGUAGAUGGGAUGGGAGAGGGCGAGUGCAAUGAGGCUAUUGCCUCUUCUCUUCGUAAUCUAGAGGACUUAAUUUCUCUAACUGUUCAUGGUGGAAGCGUCUUACAGCAGGGACCGGUGUGUUCUCUUCCGCGUAGCAUCCAGGAACUCUUCAUGACCCAGUCCUCACAUCUACGGCGCGUUCCAAAAUGGGUGAGCUCCCUCGUAAACCUGCAGCAGCUGCACCUUCAAGUGGAAGAGUUCGAGCAGGAAGACCUGUGCAUCCUUGGAAGCUUACCUGGUCUGCUUAUUCUGGAACUAACAAUGGAAAAUAUAGAUAGUAGGCUUACAAUCACCCGUGAAGCUGGCUUCCGAUGCUUGAGGAAGUUCUCAUUUGGAGUAGUUAGAUGGAUGAUGUUUGAAGCGGGAUCCAUGCCUAGGCUAGAAACACUUGAACUCAGAAUUUGGUCAGGAGAAGAGUCCGACGUGGACCAUACCGAUUCUCACACUGCCAGUGUUGGUGAUUUUGAUUUCGGAAUAGGAAACCUUCCCUGCCUCGUUACUCUCAAAUAUGCAACACAUGGCUGCGAUGAUUGCAAUGCGGCUGCAAAGGCUUCUAUGGAGAGAGCAGCUGGCACAUAUCCCAAUUGCCCAUCUCCACUCUUUCAAAAACUGGAUAUGACCCACACCACCCGUGACUGUCAUUUGAGGAGGCGUGAACGUGAGGAGCGUGAGGAGUGUGAUGCCAGACGUCGUGAGGCCAGGCUUCGUGAACGUGAGGAGUGGGAAGCCCUACAAGGGACGCUGAGAAACCUUUCAACGCUAAGCUCGCCUACCAAGCGGUUUGGAGGACAAAGCCCAUGGACACGCUCGCCCCGGCCAUCUGGCAGAACUACGCCUCAAAUAAAUGUCGACUCUACCUCUGGCUUGCCCGCAAGGACCGCCUCUUCACGAAUGAACGACGGUUCAGACGGGGCAUUGCUACUUCAGCCGCAUGCCCCUUCUGCGACCACUAUGAAUCCAUCAACCACCUCCUUUUCGAAUGUCAGCACAUAG
rnacentral:rRNA from 1 species